GGUGAGACGAAAUGCCUGGGGCACUACCAAGUACAUGGAGCUGUACAUCGUGGCUGACAGUACACUGUAUAAACGACAGAAUAAGGACUACCAAAAACCAAGCUGAGGAUAAUGGAGAUUGCCAAUUAUGUUGAUAAGUUCUACAGGGCUCUGAACAUCCGGGUGCCUCUGAUUGGCCUGGAGGUAUGGAAGGAGAGGGAUGAGUGCAUCAUUACAGAAGAACCCAACACCACACUCUGGUCCUUCCUACAGUGGAGACAGAAGCUUAAGUCCCGCAAGAAGCACGACAACGCACAGCUACUGACGUUAGUAAAGAUCACUAACACACACACACGCACGCACACACACACACGCUCUUAACCUGACAGCAAUUAAAUCAAAUAAAAUGAUUAUUUGUCACAUGCGCCGAAUACACAGCCCUUAACCUG